rnacentral:rRNA from 1 species
AUGGAAGUGGGUAUUGUGCUGGCUGACCUUGUUGAUUCAGCAGUCAUUGUGAUCCUCCAGCUCAGUGUGAGCGAGAUGUAUGUCCAUCUCUGCAAUCUCGAAAGCAACUUCAGCCUCAUGAAGAUGAUGCUCCAGCUUGUCAAAGUCGAGGCCCAGCUUGUCGAAGUCGCCAUGGUGAUGGAGGCCCAGCUUGUCAAAGUCGCCAUGGUGAUGGAGGCCCAGCUUGUCAAAGUCGCCGUGGUGAUGGAGGCCCAGCUUGUUAAAUUCACCGUGGAGGCUCAGCUUGUCGAAGUCGACGUGGUGAUGGAGGCCCAGCUUGUUAAAUUCACCGUGGAGGCUCAGCUUGUCGAAGUCGACGUGGUGAUGGAGGCCCAGCUUGUCAAAGUCGCUGUGGUGAUGGAGGCCCAGCUUGUCGAAGUCGCCAUGGUGAUGGAGGCCCUCCCCCACCUUGCCAGAGUAGUCAGCACCAAAGGAGAGUCCCUGUAA